GUGCUCCAGGCAGGCCUAUGCUCGAAUACAUUAGCAUGGAAUAAUAGAAUAGGACGUGCGGUUCUAUUUUGUUGGUUUCUAGGACCGCCGUAAUGAUUAAUAGGGAUAGUUAGGGGCAUUAGUAUUCAAUUAUCAGAGGUGAAAUUCUUGGAUUUAUUGAAGACUAACUAUUGCGAAAGCAUUUGCCAAGGAUGUUUUCAUUAAUCAGGAACGAAAGUUAGGGGAUCGAAGACGAUCAGAUACCGUCGUAGUCUUAACCAUAAACUAUGCCGACUGGGGAUCGGAUGAUGUUAAUUUUUAAUGACUCAUUCGGCGCCUUACGGGAAAC
rnacentral:rRNA from 2 species